AGACAAUGUUUUUGGACUAUGAGGGUGUUGCUAUGGAGACAGUUGCUAAUUAACUGCUUUCAACCAGGAGAACAAAGGGCUCGGGGCAAGCAGGCCUUGGUAUCUCCGAGUGAGCAAUGCUUCCAGCCUGGCGCAAUCGGCACAUCGCUCAUAUCUGGAAUACCUGAGACCCGGUCGGGUAGGCUACAUGCCUGAAGAAAUGACAAAAAGCACCUACCACAGUACCUGGCACAUAGCUGUUUGAUAAAAGCUUGCUACAUUGAACUAAACUGCAGUCCAGAGCCUUUGGAUAAUUUAUGCAAGAUCACAAAGCUAAGAGGUGGCAGAGUUGGGAAAGGAGGAAAGGCAAACCAAUUCGUGGACUGAGCCUAGAACAGCACUGCUUCCCUCAUGAGUAGAAUGGCACCGCCUAAAGGCAUCCGACAUUAAUCACCGCCUCCACAGAAAUGCAUGCUCCUUUUAUGGAAACGCAGCAUUCAGAGUUUUACAACAUUUGUACCAUGGAAGGAAAGACCAGUGCUGAUUUGGUGCCAGACUCAACUGUAAAUACAAGGUGUUUUUUUCCUUGGUAAUUACAGAUGAGAACUUCACUUCUGGCAUACACACCAUAAGGCAUUCUUGGUUUACAUAUUUAAAUAAACACACCCACCACGGGUUCCAAUUUC